ensembl:lincRNA linc-15 ncRNA
AGGAACCGCGCUUUCAAAUAAUAUGUCAAAUACCAAAGUCGAUUCUGUACAGGAUCACACUGUUUGUAACAACAACUGCUUUGAACAGCAUAUUUGUGAAGAGUAAAGAGUUUUAUUUGCAAGAUCUAAACCGUUUAUAAUAUGGAAUGACGGAAUUUGUAAAGAAAUACGAACACUCACAAGUAAGAUUGAAAGAUUGACAAUCGGAAACUGCGUACAUUACUUCAUGUCAUAGUAAUGUCGGACUAAAUUUUUUUUAUUAAUAAAAUUGUUUUUAAAUAGGUUUUAACUUGUUGACGGAACUAUUGUAUUGACUAAAUCAGUAAAUAAUUAUUUGG